AUUGAACGCUGGCGGCAGGCUUAACACAUGCAAGUCGAGCGGAGAGAGGUAGCUUGCUACUGAUCUUAGCGGCGGACGGGUGAGUAAUGCUUAGGAAUCUGCCUAUUAGUGGGGGACAACAUUUCGAAAGGAAUGCUAAUACCGCAUACGUCCUACGGGAGAAAGCAGGGGAUCUUCGGACCUUGCGCUAAUAGAUGAGCCUAAGGCGGAUUAGCUAGUUGGUGGGGUAAAGGGCUACCAAGGCGACGAUCUGUAGCGGGUCUGAGAGGAUGAUCCGCCACACUGGGACUGGGACACGGCCCAGACUCCGACGGGAGGCAGCAGUGGGGAAUAUUGGACAAUGGGCGCAAGCCUGAUCCAGGCAUGCCGCGUGUGUGAAGAAGGCCUUAUGGUUGUAAAGCACUUUAAGCUAGGAGGAGGCUACUUUAGUUAAUACCUAGGGAUAGUGGACGUUACUCGCAGAAUAAGCACCGGCUAACUCUGUGCCAGCAGCCGCAGUAAAAC
rnacentral:rRNA from 1 species